UACGUAGGGGGGCUAGCGUUGUCCGGAUUUAUUGGGCGUAAAGAGCGUGUAGGCGGCCAUGUAGGUCCGGUGUGAAAACUCGAGGCUUAACCUCGAGAUGUCAUCGGAAACCAUUUGGCUAGAGUCCGGAAGAGGAGAGUGGAAUUCCCUGGUGUAGCGGUGAAAUGCGCAGAUAUCAGGAAGAACACCAAUGGCGAAAGCAGCUCUCUGGGACGGUACUGACGCUGAGACGCGAAAAGCGUGGGGAGCGAACAGG
rnacentral:rRNA from 1 species